GUAGGACUACAGGCCCCGGGACAACAGUUGGAAACGGCUGCUAAUACCGGAUGUGCCGAAAGGUAAAAGGCUUGCUGCCUGAAGAUGAGCUCGCGUCUGAUUAGCUAGUAGGUGUGGUAAGAGCGCACCUAGGCGACGAUCAGUAGCUGGUCUGAGAGGACGAUCAGCCACACUGGGACUGAGACACGGCCCAGACUCCUACGGGAGGCAGCAGUGGGGAAUUUUCCGCAAUGGGCGAAAGCCUGACGGAGCAAUACCGCGUGAGGGAGGAAGGCUCUUGGGUUGUAAACCUCUUUUCUCAGGGAAGAAUGCAAUGACGGUACCUGAGGAAUAAGCAUCGGCUAACUCCGUGCCAGCAGCCGCGGUAAUACGGAGGAUGCAAGCGUUAUCCGGAAUGAUUGGGCGUAAAGCGUCCGCAGGUGGCAAUGAAAGUCUGCUGUUAAAGAGUGAGGCUCAACCUCAUAAAAGCGGUGGAAACUACAUAGCUAGAGUACGUUCGGGGCAGAGGGAAUUCCUGGUGUAGCGGUGAAAUGCGUAGAGAUCAGGAAGAACACCGGUGGCGAAAGCGCUCUGCUAGGCCUGUACUGACACUGAGGGACGAAAGCUAGGGGAGCGAAUGGGAUUAGAUACCCCC
rnacentral:rRNA from 1 species